GCCCAGAUCGUUUACCGUGAAAAAAUUAGAGUGUUCAAAGCAGGCAGAUCCAAUUUUCUGCCACCGAAUACAUUAGCAUGGGAUAAUGGAAUAGGACCCUGUCCUCCUAUUUUCAGUUGGUUUUGGCAGCGCGAGGACUAGGGUAAUGAUUAAUAGGGAUAGUUGGGGGCAUUAAUAUUUAAUUGUCAGAGGUGAAAUUCUUGGAUUUAUGAAAGAUUAACUUCUGCGAAAGCAUCUGCCAAGGAUGUUUUCAUUAAUCAAGAACGAAAGUUAGGGGAUCGAAGACGAUCAGAUACCGUCGUAGUCUUAACCAUAAACGAUGCCGACCAGCGAUUAGGAGACGUUGAAUACAAAACACCACCAUCGGCGCGGUCGUCCUUGGCGUCGGUCUUGCGUGGCCGACGUCGGUAC
rnacentral:rRNA from 1 species